rnacentral:rRNA from 1 species
GUGGGGAAUCUUGCGCAAUGGGCGAAAGCCUGACGCAGCCAUGCCGCGUGAAUGAUGAAGGUCUUAGGAUUGUAAAAUUCUUUCACCGGGGACGAUAAUGACGGUACCCGGAGAAGAAGCCCCGGCUAACUUCGUGCCAGCAGCCGCGGUAAUACGAAGGGGGCUAGCGUUGCUCGGAUUUACUGGGCGUAAAGGGCGCGUAGGCGGACAUUUAAGUCAGGGGUGAAAUCCCGGGGCUCAACCUCGGAACUGCCUUUGAUACUGGGUGUCUUGAGUAUGAGAGAGGUGUGUGGAACUCCGAGUGUAGAGGUGAAAUUCGUAGAUAUUCGGAAGAACACCAGUGGCGAAGGCGACACACUGGCUCAUUACUGACGCUGAGGCGCGAAAGCGUGGGGAGCAAACAGGAUUAGAUACCCCUGUAGUCC